UACGUAGGAGGCAAGCGUUGUCCGGAAUUACUGGGUGUAAAGCGCGUGUAGGUGGGAGGCCAAGUCUGUGGUGAAAGCGCCCGGCUCAACUGGGCAGAGUCCAUGGAAACUGGUCACCUGGAGGACGGUAGAGGCGAGUGGAAUUCCCGGUGUAGUGGUGAAAUGCGUAGAGAUCGGGAGGAACACCAGUGGCGAAGGCGGCUCGCUGGGCCGGUCCUGACACUGAGACGCGAAAGCGUGGGGAGCGAACAGG
rnacentral:rRNA from 1 species